GACGAACGCUGGCGGCGUGCCUAAUACAUGCAAGUCGAGCGCGCGGGGACGGGUGAGUAACACGUGGGUAACCUCCCCAUCAGAGGGGAUAACACUUGGAAACAGGUGCUAAACCGAUACUGAUGGAUGGACCCGCGGUUCAUUAGCUAGUUGGGGAGGUAACGGCUCACCAAGGCCACGAUGCAUAGCCGACCUGAGAGGAGGAUCGGCCACACGGGGACUGAGACACGGCCCAGACUCCUACGGUAGGCAGCAGUAGGGAAUCUUCGGCAAUGGGCGAAAGCCUGACCGAGCAAUGCCGCGUGAGUGAAGAAGGUGUUCGGAUCGUAAAACUCUGUUGGUAGAGAAGCGGUAUCCAACGAGAAAGCAACGGCUAACUACGUGCCAGCAGCCGCGGUAAUAC
rnacentral:rRNA from 1 species